rnacentral:tRNA from 1 species
UGCGGCCACCGGGAAUCUAACCCGGGACAAAUGCUUGGAGGGCAUUGAUUUUGACACUAAACUAUGACCGC